GAGAGUAUAGCUCAAGUGGUAGAGCACAUGCUUAGCAUGCAUGAGGUCCUGGGUUCAAUCCCCAGUACCUCCU
rnacentral:tRNA from 1 species